rnacentral:lncRNA from 1 species
CCUGGGUGCACGUAGUAGGCGCUUCAGAAAUAAUUGUUGAGUGACUCCUUAGCCGCCCCCUUAAGCUCAUUGCCCCUGACUUGAGUAAGGAGGGAGAUUGAAGAUUGAGAUGCUGAGACUGAGGCCCAGAGAGACUAAAUAAUUUGCCUGAGUUUUCUUUCCCAGGUCUGGAAGGAGGCAACUUUGACACAAAUUCUGCCUUUGGAAGAGUCAGGGCAUCCAUUCGAGCCAGGUGACUACUUGUA